rnacentral:lncRNA from 1 species
ACUUAUAAAUGCAAUGCAUAUGCUGUAAUUUAAUUUGAUAUAGGUAAACCUGCAACCAUCAAUUAGGUAGGUUUCUCGUCUAAUCCUAGUUAUAUGGCCAAAAUUAUAUUAUUAAAAUAGAUAUAACGGUCAUCAAUUUUUUUUAAAAAAAAUAGAAAACAAUACCUCCAAUAUACAUAUGCUUUGAAUGGUCCAAGAUAUUUUAUGGAUGCUUAAAAGCCAAUUAUAUAGCAAAUUGCUUGAAAGCCUUCUCUACUAGAAUAUGGAGAGAUAGAUUGAGGGAGGGAGGAGG